AUGAACGCUAGCUACAGGCUUAACACAUGCAAGUCGAGGGGCAGCAUGGUCUUAGCUUGCUAAGGCCGAUGGCGACCGGCGCACGGGUGAGUAACACGUAUCCAACCUGCCGUCUACUCUUGGACAGCCUUCUGAAAGGAAGAUUAAUACAAGAUGGCAUCAUGAGUCCGCAUGUUCACAUGAUUAAAGGUAUUCCGGUAGACGAUGGGGAUGCGUUCCAUUAGAUAGUAGGCGGGGUAACGGCCCACCUAGUCUUCGAUGGGUAGGGGUUCUGAGAGGAAGGUCCCCCACAUUGGAACUGAGACACGGUCCAAACUCCUACGGGAGGCAGCAGUGAGGAAUAUUGGUCAAUGGGCGAGAGCCUGAACCAGCCAAGUAGCGUGAAGGAUGACUGCCCUAUGGGUUGUAAACUUCUUUUAUAAAGGAAUAAAGUCGGGUAUGGAUACCCGUUUGCAUGUACUUUAUGAAUAAGGAUCGGCUAACUCCGUGCCAGCAGCCGCGGUAAUACGGAGGAUCCGAGCGUUAUCCGGAUUUAUUGGGUUUAAAGGGAGCGUAGAUGGAUGUUUAAGUCAGUUGUGAAAGUUUGCGGCUCAACCGUAAAAUUGCAGUUGAUACUGGAUAUCUUGAGUGCAGUUGAGGCAGGCGGAAUUCGUGGUGUAGCGGUGAAAUGCUUAGAUAUCACGAAGAACUCCGAUUGCGAAGGCAGCCUGCUAAGCUGCAACUGACAUUGAGGCUCGAAAGUGUGGGUAUCAAACAGGAUUAGAUACCCUGGUAGUCCACACGGUAAACGAUGAAUACUCGCUGUUUGCGAUAUACAGCAAGCGGCAAAGCGAAAGCGUUAAGUAUUCCACCUGGGGAGUACGCCGGCAACGGUGAAACUCAAAGGAAUUGACGGGGGCCCGCACAAGCGGAGGAACAUGUGGUUUAAUUCGAUGAUACGCGAGGAACCUUACCCGGGCUUAAAUUGCAGAUGAAUUACGGUGAAAGCCGUAAGCCGCAAGGCAUCUGUGAAGGUGCUGCAUGGUUGUCGUCAGCUCGUGCCGUGAGGUGUCGGCUUAAGUGCCAUAACGAGCGCAACCCUUGUUGUCAGUUACUAACAGGUUCCGCUGAGGACUCUGACAAGACUGCCAUCGUAAGAUGUGAGGAAGGUGGGGAUGACGUCAAAUCAGCACGGCCCUUACGUCCGGGGCUACACACGUGUUACAAUGGGGGGUACAGAGGGCCGCUACCACGCGAGUGGAUGCCAAUCCCCAAAACCUCUCUCAGUUCGGACUGGAGUCUGCAACCCGACUCCACGAAGCUGGAUUCGCUAGUAAUCGCGCAUCAGCCACGGCGCGGUGAAUACGUUCCCGGGCCUUGUACACACCGCCCGUCAAGCCAUGGGAGCCGGGGGUACCUGAAGUGCGUAACCGCGAGGAGCGCCCUAGGGUAAAACUGGUGACUGGGGCU
rnacentral:rRNA from 1 species